rnacentral:rRNA from 1 species
GACGAACGCUGGCGGCGUGCUUAACACAUGCAAGUCGAACGGAAAGGCCUGCUUUCCCUUGUGGAUUGCGGGUACUCGAGUGGCGAACGGGUGAGUAACACGUGAGUGAUCUGCCCCCAACUUGGGUAUAAGCCUGGGAAACUGGGUCUAAUUCCCGAUAGGACUGCAGGGUGGUGCCUGUGGUGGAAAACGAUUUUCUAGUGGUUGGGGAUGAGCUCGCGGCCUAUCAGCUUGUUGGUGGGGUAAUGGCCUACCAAGGCGGCGACGGGUAGCCGGCCUGAGAGGGUGGACGGCCUCAUUGGGACUGAGAUACGGCCCAGACUCCUACGGGAGGCAGCAGUGGGGAAUAAUGCACAAUGGGCGGAAGCCUGAUGCAGCGACGCCGCGUGGGGGAUGACGGCCUUCGGGUUGUAAACUCCUUUCGACCGCGAGGAAGCCACCUGGUUGGAAGGGUGGUGACGGUAGUGGUAGAAGAAGCACCGGCUAACUACGUG